rnacentral:rRNA from 1 species
UACAGAGGGUGCGAGCGUUAAUCGGAAUUACUGGGCGUAAAGGGAGCGUAGGUGGACAGUUUAGUCAGAGGUGAAAGCCCAGGGCUCAACCUUGGAAUUGCCUUUGAUACUGGCUGUCUUGAGUACGGAAGAGGUAUGUGGAACUCCGAGUGUAGAGGUGAAAUUCGUAGAUAUUCGGAAGAACACCAGUGGCGAAGGCGACAUACUGGUCCGCUACUGACACUGAGGCUCGAAAGCGUGGGGAGCAAACAGG